rnacentral:sRNA from 1 species
GCCGGGCAUGGUGGCGCGUGCCUGUAAGCCAAGCUGCUCCAGAGGUUGAGACAGGAGGAUGGCAAGGUCAAAGCCAGUCUCAGCAAGGGCAUGGUGCUAAGCAACUUAGUGAGACCCUGUCUCUA